ACAAGAAAUAAUCUGUCUUAGAUUAAUAUAUUGAAUUUAACUUUUAAGUGAAAAGGCUUAAAUAAUCUGAAGGGACGAUAAGACCCUAUAAAACUUUAUAUUGAAAAGUGGUAGGUAUGAUUUGUUUAAAGGUAAUUACUUUAAAGUAUUUGGUUGGGGCGACAAGAAUAGAAUGGAAAGUAACUGUUUUUUUUUUUUACAAUAAUGUUUGGGUGGAUGAUCCUAAAAUGGAUUAAAGAUUAAGUUACUUUAGGGAUAACAGCGUAAUUUUCUUUAAGAGUUCUUAUCGAUAAGAGAGUUUGCGACCUCGAUGUUGAAUUAAAGGUUCUUUAUGGAGUAGAGACUAUAAAAGAAGGUCUGUUCG
rnacentral:rRNA from 1 species